ACACACACAGAGUCGCUUCCUCUCUCUCUCUCUAUAACCUCCUCUCAACCGCCAAUGUCACCACCGUCGGCGAUCGCCGACGUCCACCGCGUAAUCGACCCCAAGAUCUGGCGCGCCUGCGCCGGAGCCUCCGUCAAGAUCCCCGCGCUCUUCUCCAGGGUCUACUAUUACCCCCAGGGACACGUGGAGCACUGCUGCCCUUCCUCCUCCGCCGUAACAGCUUCUCCGAUCGCCUGCGUCGUCUCCUCGAUCGACCUCCUCGCGGAUCCGAUCACCGACGAGGUCUUCGCGCACCUAACGCUUCACCCCGCGGCGGCGCAGGAUCAGUUUCAGUUCCCUCCUCAAUCUCGAUUCGAAGAGGAGGACGAGAGCGAGAAGGUCGUUACGUUCGCGAAGGUCCUCACUGCGUCUGAUGCUAAUAACGGAGGAGGAUUCUCCGUCCCGCGGUACUGCGCGGACUCCGUCUUCCCUCCUCUCGAUUUCCAGGCCGAUCCUCCCGUUCAGAAGCUCUUCAUCACCGACGUGCACGGCGGCGUGUGGGACUUUCGCCACAUCUACCGCGGUACGCCGAGGAGGCACUUGCUAACCACGGGGUGGAGCAAGUUCGUGAACAGCAAGAAGCUGAUCUGCGGAGACUCCGUCGUUUUCAUGAGGAAGUCCGUUCACGAGAUGUUUAUCGGCGUGAGGAGAGCUCCGAUCUCUAACAAAUCCGGAGGAAGCAGCUACUACGGGGACGAGUACUUCCCCGGUGGUUAUUACGGAGUUAAGAAGGAAGACGGUGGCGAGAAGUUUAGGAGAGUUGGGAUGGGGAAGCUGACGGCGGAGGCGGUCUCGGAGGCGAUCGGGAAAGCCUCGCGGGGGUUACCGUUCGAGGUUGUUUAUUACCCGACGGCGGGGUGGUCUGAGUUCGUUGUGAGAGCUGAGGACGUCGAGGCGUCGACGAAUGUUUACUGGACUCCGGGGACUCGAGUCAAGAUGGCGAUGGAGACGGAGGAUUCGUCGAGGAUCACGUGGUUUCAGGGGAUCGUCUCGGCUACGUUUCAGGAGACGUGGAAACAGCUUCAGAUCACAUGGGACGAGCCUGAGAUUCUGCAGAACUUGAAGAGGGUGAAUCCUUGGCAAGUGGAAGCCGUUACUGCGAGCUCAACUCAGCUUCACGCAACUUACCCUCCUCCACCAAAGAGGUCGAAGUAUCCACACGCCUCAAGUGGUGUCCUGAGUGGAGAAGAAGGAGAGAUGAUCUAUUACGGAAGAGGACAACAAACUAUGGAUCCAAUCCCAUACGGGUACACUUACACUACAGUUCCUGCUGGCAUGCAGGGAGCCAGGCAUUACGAAUUUGGGUCUUACAACAACUCAACCGGAUUCAUUGGAGAGAACGCUCAUCCUGAGUUUAACUUCUUUAGCCCUCUUCCCGGUCUGGGAAGGGUCUCGACUCAGAUGAUGAGCUUUGGCAGUCCGCCGUCGGAUGAGCUGUCGCCUAACAGCAACACCACUAAUGUUUCUUCCGGAAACGACGCGGCUGGGAACAACCGAGGCAUUAGUUUUCAGCUGUUUGGGAAGGUGAUAAACGUGCAGGAGCCUGCCGAGAGCGGUGUGGCUGAGUCUAGCUUGUGUGAAGAGGAUGGAAGCAAAGAGUCCAGUGACAAUGAAGUUCCGAACGAGGCACAGUUGCUGGGUCGUGGAGGAAGGUGAAAGUGUCUUGGGUGCCUAUAAGAUUCCAGCAGACACAGAGGUACUAGCAGUAAAAGUGAAGGGAAUGAAGGAAUGUUGGAAUCUGUACGUCCCAAGUAGUAGUUGGUUGGUAAUACUAUAAAAAAGUAUCUUAUGGUUUUUCUUUUCUUUGCAUUUUGACUUUCUCUGGAGGAUUUUAUGGUUGCCACGUGGCAAUCUGUGUAUUUGACCAAUUUCUGAGACACAUUCUGGAUUGAGCAUCUCGCUCUUUCCUAAUCGUUUAUUGUUUUAUUGGGUGGGGGGUAAAAUGUCUAUGGAUGAUUUUUACUUUUUUAACCAUUUAUAUAGCAGUGAUUAAGACU